rnacentral:rRNA from 1 species
UACGAAGGGGGCUAGCGUUGCUCGGAAUUACUGGGCGUAAAGCGCACGUAGGCGGAUCUUUAAGUCAGGGGUGAAAUCCUGGAGCUCAACUCCAGAACUGCCUUUGAUACUGAGGACCUUGAGUUCGGGAGAGGUGAGUGGAACUGCGAGUGUAGAGGUGAAAUUCGUAGAUAUUUCGCAAGAACACCAGUGGCGAAGGCGGCUCACUGGCCCGAUACUGACGCUGAGGUGCGAAAGCGUGGGGAGCAAACAGG